rnacentral:rRNA from 1 species
UACAGAGGUGGCAAGCGUUGUUCGGAAUUACUGGGCGUAAAGGGCGCGUAGGCGGUCAGGUCAGUCCCGUGUGAAAUCCCUCGGCUCAACUGAGGAACUGCACGGGAAACUGCCUGGCUUGAGUUCGGGAGAGGGAAGCGGAAUUCCGGGUGUAGCGGUGAAAUGCGUAGAUAUCAGAAGGAACAUCAGUGGCGAAGGCGGCUUCCUGGACCAAUACUGACGAUCAGGUGCGAAAGCGUGGGGAGCAAACAGG